AACCCCUAAAGACCUUUUUCUAACUUAGGACUUUUUUUUUGGUGGUAUUGGGGUUUGAACUCAGGGCUUUGCACGUGCUAGGCAAGUGCUCUAUCACCUGAGCCAUGCCCUCAGCCCCCUAAAGAGCUUUUUCUAGACCUGUGUAGCCAGGGGGCGCCAAGACAGAAGGAAGUGGCAGAUUGGCAAAGUGAGACCUGGACUGGCGAGGCGAAUCCAGGUGUGACAGGAAGAACUCCCCAGAGACCCUCAGAAUGUGCUGUAUAUGCCCAUCCUGCCUGAGAGAUGUGAGCCUCUCAAGUAGCCAGGCGUGAGCCACCAGCGCCUUACCCUAUGGAAUAUUGCCUGUGACCCUCACCAGCUGGAGCUGCGCGCUCUUUCCUCUUCUCCCCAGCCCCAGGCAUCAUGACAGUCGUUUUCUGGGCAAGGCCCUCACCAACAGUUAGCCACAGUCUGGGAGCCUCAGCAAGCCUUGGCAGACUCCCAUGGUUUGCCACCACCCUCUGCGCCCUGCCUGUCUACUAACAUGGGACAUGCCAGGUUCAGGAGCUACUCCACCAGGAGAACACGCUCCUUUAGGUCCCCCAGGAUCCCAGGUGGACAGAAUGGUGGGUUAGGUAGGCACGCAGUGUCUGCAAGCGUCACAACGGUAGGUGCCCUUGGCCGUGCCCGUUGGCACACCGGGCCCUUGGAAGGCUGCUUGGUCCUGGAGUGCUGGCGGCCUCCUGGUCCAGUGCCCCACUUCCUCCUGGAGCGAGGGGGGAAGGCAGUGGGAACCGGUGGGAGCAGAUGCUCAGGCUGGGAGCGGCUGCGUAGGCUCCGAGCCCUCCUGGGGCAGCCGCUCUCGUGGUGUUGUGUUCACAAAGCGCUCUGGAAGGGUUCGCUCUUACGAUUGGGCCCUUCCCACUGCUGCAGACCAGAGUUCAGGCCUGGAGUCCGGACCCUAAGCCCUGGCGUCCGGAUGAGGGGAACAUGGUGAAGCUGACAUAACGCAGGGAUGAGAACCACAUCCGAUUCUGCGGGAUCUCAACUCCUGGCCAGUUUCUGCCGGUUCUAGUCGUGCACGCUCCGCCCUUCUCGCAUGUUAAGCACAAAAGUACCCACAUGUGACAUCUCGGCUCACCGCCCGCCCCGCCCUGCCCUUCCUCGCUCCGCCCGGCCUCACCCAUCCGCUCCCACAGCUAGAUCCCGCUGA